CACGUAGGGCGCAAGCGUUGUCCGGAAUUAUUGGGCGUAAAGAGCUCGUAGGCGGUCUGUUGCGUCCGCUGUGAAAACUCGGGGCUUAACCCCGAGCCUGCAGUGGAUACGGGCAGACUAGAGGUAGGUAGGGGAGAAUGGAAUUCCCGGUGUAGCGGUGAAAUGCGCAGAUAUCGGGAGGAACAUCAGUGGCGAAGGCGGCUAUCUGGUCUAACACUGACACUGAGACACGAAAGCGUGGGGAGCGAUCCGG
rnacentral:rRNA from 1 species